GUAGGGAAUAUUGCACAAUGGGGGAAACCCUGAUGCAGCGACGCCGCGUGAGUGAUGAAGGCCUUCGGGUCGUAAAGCUCUGUCGUAUGGGACUAACAAAAUGAAGGUACCAUGCAAGAAAGGAUCGGCUAACUUCGUGCCAGCAGCCGCGGUAAGACGAGGGAUCCUAGCGUUGUUCGGAAUUAUUGGGCGUAAAGCGGGUGUAGGCGGGCCUGUCAGUCAGGUGUGAAAUCCCAGGGCUUAACCCUGGAAGUGCACUUGAUACUGCAGGUCUUGAGUGUGGUAGAGGCUAUUAGAAUUCUUGGUGUAGUGGUGAAAUACGUAGAUAUCAAGAGGAAUACCGGAGGCGAAGGCGGAUAGCUGGGCCAACACUGACGCUGAGACCCGAAAGCGUGGGGAUCAAACAGGAUUAGAAACCCUUGUAGUCC
rnacentral:rRNA from 1 species